rnacentral:rRNA from 1 species
CGAACGCUGGCGGCGCGCCUAACACAUGCAAGUCGAACGAGCGAGAGAGAGUUUACUUUUUCGAGCGAGUGGCGAACGGGUGAGUAACGCGUAAGGAACCUGCCUCAAAGAGGGGGACAACAGUUGGAAACGACUGCUAAUACCGCAUAAGCCCACGACCCGGCAUCGGGUAGAGGGAAAAGGAGCAAUCCGCUUUGAGAUGGCCUCGCGUCCGAUUAGCUAGUUGGUGAGGUAAUGGCCCACCAAGGCGACGAUCGGUAGCCGGACUGAGAGGUUGAACGGCCACAUUGGGACUGAGACACGGCCCAGACUCCUACGGGAGGCAGCAGUGGGGAAUAUUGCACAAUGGGGGAAACCCUGAUGCAGCGACGCCGCGUGGAGGAAGAAGGUCUUCGGAUUGUAAACUCCUGUUGUUGAGGAAGAUAAUGACGGUACUCAACAAGGAAGUGACGGCUAACUACGUGCCAGCAGCCGCGGUAAAACGUAGGUCACAAGCGUUGUCCGGAAUUACUGGGUGUAAAGGGAGCGCAGGCGGGAAGACAAGUUGGAAGUGAAAUCCAUGGGCUCAACCCAUGAACUGCUUUCAAAACUGUUUUUCUUGAGUAGUGCAGAGGUAGGCGGAAUUCCCGGUGUAGCGGUGGAAUGCGUAGAUAUCGGGAGGAACACCAGUGGCGAAGGCGGCCUACUGGGCACCAACUGACGCUGAGGCUCGAAAGUGUGGG